rnacentral:rRNA from 1 species
GUGGGGAAUAUUGGACAAUGGGGGGAACCCUGAUCCAGCCAUGCCGCGUGUGUGAAGAAGGCCUGUUGGUUGUAAAGCACUUUAAGCGAGGAGGAGGCUACCGAGAUUAAUACUCUUGGAUAGUGGACGUUACUCGCAGAAUAAGCACCGGCUAACUCUGUGCCCGCAGCCGCGGUAAUACAGAGGGUGCAAGCGUUAAUCGGAUUUACUGGGCGUAAAGCGCGCGUAGGUGGCCAAUUAAGUCAAAUGUGAAAUCCCCGAGCUUAACUUGGGAAUUGCAUGCGAUACUGGUUGGCUAGAGUAUGGGAGAGGAUGGUAGAAUUCCAGGUGUAGCGGUGAAAUGCGUAGAGAUCUGGAGGAAUACCGAUGGCGAAGGCAGCCAUCUGGCCUAAUACUGACACUGAGGUGCGAAAGCAUGGGGAGCAAACAGGAUUAGAUACCCUUGUAGUCC